rnacentral:lncRNA from 1 species
AGCUACAGUUGCUGUGAAAAAAAAACGGUAAUUAUGAAAUAAAAGUUAAUAAUAUAUAGUAAAUAUAAAUUUUAAAUAAUAAUUUUAUCAAAAUUAUUAAAGAUAUAAUAAAUUUUAUAUUAUACAAGUGAAAAAAUAAAUUUUAUAUUAUACAAUAAAUUUUAUAUUAUACAAGUGAAAAAUUAUAUCAAUAUAACUUAAAAGCUACAGCAGCUAGUGUUUACCAAACACUUUAGUGCUGUAGCUUUUAAGCUACAGCUGCCCAACCUCAAUCCCAAACGCACCCUGAGUUGAAAAUUUGCUCUUUCUCUAGCCUAAAUUACAAUUGGUAUUAUUGUAAUACGACAAUUAAAAAUUACUUUUACACACACACAAAUAUUAAAAGUCGACUUAUAUUUAUAUAUGAAAAUAGAUAGAUCAAAUAAAUUAUGAUAGUCUCAAUUUCUACUUUCAUAAAUAUUAAAACAAAAGUCUUUAUUUUGCCUACUAACCACAGGAAAAAAAAAAUACCUAACUUCCCUGAAUUUUAAAUUAGAAAAAGAAAUGUUGAGUCUGUUAGCAGGACUCCAAGCAUCCGCCUAAUACCAGGAGCCGAGUGGACAAUUACUUUUAAAAUAUUUUCCCCAAAAAAAAAUAUUACUUGAAGAAGCCUAUCCGAGUAGACGGCUUCAACUUGACAUCUUACAAUAGGAGGUUGCUAUGUUACAGAUUUUGUAACAUACGCACCCAAUGCAUGCACUACACCUGUCCUGCAUAUGGAGAAAAAACAUGCAACUAUUUUUAUUUAGUUGCUAGCUACCCAAUCAGAAGCUGGCUAAGUUGGAUCUGUAUGUUACAGAAUCUGUAACUUAGCCAGCUCCCUUACAAUAACUCGUAACAAAUAUCUGAUUGAAAAAUGUGCACUUUAGAGAAACACGGCGACGUUUUUGUCCUAACCUUAACCGGUUCCUCCGACGUUGACGAACACCGGUUCGGUCCAUCCGCAAUCGACUCGAUCCUCUCGGCUAUUGCCAAAGCCAAAGCCGAAGCAACUCCCGGCUCCGCUCUUAUUACCACUUCUCAUGGCAAAUUCUUCUCCAACGGCCUCGACCUCGCCUGGGCCCAAGCCGCCGGCUCACGAGCCGGCGCCCGGGAACGCCUCCUACGGCCACGCAGCCGCCGCAGGGUUGACGCUGGCUUUGAGCCAUGAUUACGUCAUCAUGAGGCGUGAUAAGGGCGUGCUGUACAUGAGCGAGGUGGAUAUCGGGCUCACUCUGCCGGAUUAUUUUGCUGCUCUGUUUCGGGCAAAGGUCGGAUCGGCUACGGCUCGGCGCGAUGUGUUGCUGAGGGCUAAGAAGAUCAAGGGAGAGGAGGCGCUGAGGAUGGGACUCGCGGAGGCAGCAUACGAUAGCGAGGAACAAGUGGCCGAGGCUAGCAUGCGCCUGGCGAAGCAAAUGGCCGGCAGGAAGUGGGCUGGUGAGGUGUAUGCGGAAAUAAGGAAGAGUCUGUACCCGGACUUAUGUGGCGUGCUGGGAUUGGACAUCAGGGCCGUUGUUUCCAAUUCUAAGCUUUGAAUUUGAUUGGACGAGAAAAUAACUAUAAACCAGUUGUGUUUUGUGUUAACCGUUAUCGAAGUUUAGUGAUGAAUAAUAUUCAUACCCGAGAACUUGGGACACGAAAGAAUUUGAGAAUUCAGAGAUACUUGUAUAGUAAUGUUAGAUUUAAAGAGAAAGAAGUAUUAUUUUUCUUUUUGAAGAAAAUAAACUAACAUUUCACUCGCCACAAGCCAAAAUUAGCAUAUCGUCACGUCUAGUACAAACAUAGCUCCACAGACAUCUAUUACAAGUACACAAUUGUUGAACCAAUCUAUUUUUCAUAUUAAAGAACAAGAGAAAAUUAGUGCAUCAAAAAUACUUUAAUGAAGUUUUUCUUCCCACGAAGAAGAUGCACUCAAUAGAGAGCCAUUCACCAAAUAUUCGUAGUGCCUAUAUUUAAAUUUGGGAACAGAUUUUCUGCCCCUAGAUCCACUUAUAAUAGCAUAAAAGAGAUAGAAGUAUCGUAAGAUACAUGGGAAAUGGUGCCUACAGUCUCACAAGCCGAUUCAAAAUAUUUUCCGUUAAAUUUUAGUUUGAAGCAUUUCCGAUACAUCAAUUUGAAUUAUGACCAUAAUAGAGCCGAUAGAAAUGAUGAAUAAGAUUCAGCCAGUAAGAACAUUCUUGCAGGAGUGUGUAAACAGAACAACUCAUGUCUCUUAUGUUGUGGAAAUGAGACAGCAAAAUAAAUAAGAUAAUUGAAAUAUACAAAUAUGCAAACGUGCAGAAUAUCAACGAAGAGUUAGAAAGGUGACAAACUACUGCAUGAUACACGGUAGAAAACAUACAAAAACCUACCAGCUGAAAGAAUGCUACUUGUUACAGCUUCUGCAAGACCAAUCUUCUCUUCCUUCUUUGGCUUAGUUGUCAAAACUAUGGUAGCUCUCCCACAUUGGUAAUCCAACAUUAAUCCCAGGAUAGAAGUUAUCCGAUAUGUCAGAUCUUCUGAGGAAAUAUGUAUGCCAUGUAUCUUCUAGCAUAUCCUCAUCAUAGUCGUUAAACCUGAUUAAAUAAACCAUUACAACGUCAUCAAAGUUAAAUAACUUGGCUACAGACAUUUCACCAUGCAGAUAAAUAAGCAACUGAUGUAAAUAACCAAGAACGAGGUGGUGGGGGAUACGCAUCUGGAACCAAAAGCUUUGGGUCGAGCAAACCCAUCGGAGGAACCUAUUAUUAGGAUAAGAGUUCAGCUAAGCUUAAAUUAAUUCUAGAAGAGGAAAAAAAGAAAAAAGAAAAAAGAAAAAGCCAAAUAGAUCUUCCUUUCAAGCGAAAUACGUUAAGAGCGGUUAGCCUUGUCUUAUGAGAUCCGGGUGGCAUGCCAUCUUCGAAUGAAUGAACUACCGCAACAGCAUCGAUCUCCCCUUGCUGCAUACUGGAAAUACCAAAUGACAGAACAGAAAAAUAUAAAUACAAUAAAAUUUCUUUCCAUUAAGAAAAGAUAAAAACCUACUACAGGAGAAAGGUUAAAAAUAGUUUAUUAGCUACAACAAGCAAUGGAAACUCACUCUAAUCUCACAAUAGGAUCCUUUUACUCGAUUAAGCAUCAAAAUUUCCAUACGCUCUCUCAAAAUGUCAGUACGAAUUUGUGGCCAUGUCUGGUAUGCCUCUGAGUCCAGAGAAGGCAUCUUGAUAUAUCCUCAAAAAGAAUGUUAAUAACUUAACAUGAAAUGAAAACUAAUUAGCAAUAAAAAAUUAAAAACCAACCAGACAGUUAAAUGAUUCGUUUACUUCAAUGUGAGAAAAUAUUAGAUGGACCCUUUUCAGCUGAAGUAAACAGACGAAAAACACAAGUGCCGACAUCAAUUCAGAAGUCAGACAUUCUAGAGUUAGUCAUGCUGGUCUAAACACUAAAGCAGUCGAGAAAACUUUUAAAAGUGUAAAAUAUCAGUCAUAAGGAGAAAACUAAAGUGCAACGUGGUACCGUGCCACCGUUGCACCCAGCCUUUGGAUUCCAAUGGGUCAAUUCAUCUAAGUGGAUCCAACGGCUAGAUGCAAUGGUGGCACGGUACCACCGUUGCACCGUAGCCGAACCCCAAUCAUAAAGAGUACAGAAUCUGCAUCUCUCCACCAAACGGCAAAGUCUUACUAUGUAUUAAGUUAGGUAGAGCCACUCCAUCCUAGACACCAAAAUAAUCACGUAGUUUAUUAGAAUAAGAGAGAAAUUCUUUACUUCAUAUAAUGUAGGCAGCAUGUAACACCCUAAAUCUAACACGUGCGGGGCAUGUGAAGAAUGAUGUUAUUUACAAAUCGUAAUCCUUACUCAUAAAUUCCAAACUGAAAUACCUCAAAUUCUUAUUCAAAUAAAUCCACAAAUUCAUACGUCUAACGCUAAAUAAUCUCUCCCAAAACAUAAAUAUAACAAAAGUCUCAAACUCUAAAUUUCAAGUUCAUAACAGAAAUAAAAUAAAAAGAAUAUGAGACUAUUCCUUCUUUUAUUCAAAUAGCGAACGGAAACAAAAUCUCUAACUUCAAAGCUAAUCAUACCUUUCAAAAGGAACUUAAUCUGUAAAAAAGUAACGACGAGGGGUGAGCCGUCAACUCGGUAAAUAAAACAAUUCCUAACACACUAGGCCUAUCGAUACCAAAAAUAUUGCAAGCCUUCUUUUAUUUAAAACAUAUAUCAUAAUCCAUAAAUUUCAUAAAACGAUAUAUCACGAUAAAACAACAUAAAUUCAUUGUAUGUCAGAAUAUCAAAAGCAUAGUUACUUACGAAAGCAAUCAUAUAUCACAUUCACAGAAAACAAAAGGUUAGCUCAUGUCGCAUAGUGUAACCUAUAGUCCCGGUGACCCGGCCAGAAACAGAAUCAGAAUUAGAAUAUCGUGUGCACACUCAGAACAGAAAAUCCAGUACUGGUCCAGAACAGACAUAUAUCGUAUUAUACGAUCAAAAUCAGAAUCAGAAUAACUACGGACAAUGAGCCAAAACAUAAUGACUUAUACGUGGCACUUUGCACUAUAUGUGGCACUUUGCGACACUUUGACCUUCAAGGGGUGGCCCCCAUAUAGUCCCAAGAGGUGGCCCCUGUACAAUUAUAAAAUAAUUGAACUCAUACAUAGGCACAAAACAUUUGUAUCAGUUUCAUGAAAGUCCAUAACAACAAUUUAGGCUUGCAAAUUAUUUUAUAGAUAAAAUCAUAAAAGUUACUCAUGUCAUAAAAUAAUUUAAAGGCGGAUGUACUGUACAGCAGAUAUAUAUAUAUAUAUAUAUAUCUCAAGUACAUUAAGAAUGAAGUUACUUACCUCGACAAAAGAAUUUGGAUUAACACACCUCUAUGCCUCUAAGAGCCUCAAUCACCUCCAACACCUUAAGCAAAUACAAGGCAUGACAAUUAAUAACUUAUUCUAAGAAUCUGGUUUUUCUAAUUCAUAUCCGUACAGGUCUGAUGCUCAUAACUUUAACUCUUAAUCUAAAACUGAGAAUCACAUAAUAUUCUACAAGGCUAUUUUGGACAUCCAUGGGUACCUCAUGUAAAAUUUUCAAUAGGAUCCGAUACCAAAAACAUUUUCAAAAUUAUUUAUUACUUGACAAAUUCGAAACUGUUUUCACAGCACCUUAACCGAACAGAAUGGGUUCUGAGAUUUUUAUAAAAUAAAAUUUAUUCAAGAAGCCCUACAUGUCUAGUUUCCAGAAAUAUAAAUUUCAUGAGAUAAAUCGUUCAGAAGAAAUUGGUUUAAAUUCGAGAUACUCAUGUUGUCCAUAAUUAUCCUAUGUGCUUAAUACGUCAAGGGUUGAUUAACUAAACUCAUAAUAACUCAUAAUAAAUCAAAAACCCUAAACAAAGCUUAAAUACAUUCUAAAUCAUGUAUUAUGAUCUAUAACAAUCUAAAAUCAUGCCAGUAUAAACCCUAGAUAGAGUGAUUGGAAAUCUUGUGGGGAAUAAAGGGAUUAAACUUACCAAUUGCUUUGAUUCUCUUCUAAACAAAGACUUGAAUCUUAGGGUUUGGGUAAGAGUGUAAUGAGCAGUAGAGAAGAAAAGAUACGUCGUGGAUUUAGAGUUAUAGAAGGAGAAAAAUAUGAAUUUAUAGGGAGUCUUAAGUAACCCUAUUGAAUUUGGAAAAAUAAUCAUUUUCCAAAAUUAUCUCCUAAAUAACCCUUAUUUAUAAUUUAAUAUCCCUUUCUAAUAAGGGUUAUAGGCCACGCAUGAUUCCUAAUGAAAGCCCAAUUUCCAUAAUUUAAUGUUAUGGAAAUCUGUGGCGUUACACAGCAUCCAUCGUUGCUACACAGUGAAAUAAGAAACAUUCAAGAAAAUAAAAGGGCAAAGGAGGGGCAUGAAAAAGUAGUAGAAAAGAAAAAGAGAGACGUUUUUUAGCUUCUUGCUGCAUGCUAAACUUGAAAAAGGCAAAAAAGGCAUUAUUGGUAAUGAACAGGGGCGGCUCAAUCAAUUUUGCAAAAAUUAGGUCUUUAAAAAAAAUUUGUUAUUAAAAAUUCAUUUAUUUAGAAUCAAUUUUUCUAAUUUUCUAAGAUGCAAAAUUAUUAAUUAAAUUUUUAUAUUAUAAGUUCCUAAUAUAUUUUUCUUAAUACAUAACAUAGUUAAUCCAUUUAAUAUUUCUUGCAACAUGAUUAAUCUUAAAUAAAUUUUUAUCAAUUUUAAUUUUGAAAAACUUAUUUCUACAGAAGCAACUGUUAUUAGUAUUGUUAAUAAUAUUUUAUAAGUAAUAUAUGCAUUUGGAAACGAAUCAAUUUUUUGUUAAAUAAUUAACUACAUCAAGUGGGGUAUUUUUUUUCACUUUGAAAAGCUUCUUUUAAAAUUCUUAACUCUACAAACAAAUCUAAACCAUCUAUAUCAGAAAGUGAAUCAUGUUUUAAAGUAUUUUCAAGAUUAAUGCAAUAAGUUUUUAGAACAUUAUCACUUAACAAAAAUCCAAUCAUAUCCAAGCCAAAAAAAUAAAAAUAAAGAAAAAAUAAUUAAAAAAUUAAUUACUUGUGCUUGAUGGAGGAGAGAUCGUGAUUGAUGGAGGAAAAUUAUCAGAGCCUUCAGCUUUCAAAAUUGACAAGGAAUUAGGAAUUAUCGUGACCUUUUUUUUUAAUUUAUAAAACUAUUAAUAAAUAAUAAUAAGUUACCAAAUAUUUGGUUUUUAUAGAGUUUCAAAUGAAAUAAUGUUAAUUAGAGAUUUUAUAGGAAUAAAUAAGAUAAAAAGGUUAAUUCUAACAUUAAAAAGAGAUUUUAUAUACAUUUGAUAAUUUAUUUACGGAAAAGAUUAUUAUAAGACAAUAACAAUAUAUAUAUAAAUUAAUAACUUAACAACUAUAAUUUUAAAAAAAAAUUGGAACUUUUAUAUGUUGUGGAGUCCUAGGCAACCGCCUAAGUUGCCUAAGGGAAGAGUCGCUUCUGGUAAUAAAGGGCAACAUCAAUAAGCAAAAAUCAUGAGUAUAUAAUAAUUAUUGAGUUAAAACUAGAUUUAUUUUCAGAUAGAUAAUAAUUUUAUUGAGACAAUACAAGGCAAACAAGUGAACAACCACCCUCAACAGAGUGCCUAACUCUGGACCACUUUAAUGGCAAAUUGUAAUAAGACGGUAGAAUACGCUGCAGCUUUGUGAAUUGGUUGAUGACAAGAUAAAUCAAGUUAUUAUUCUAUUCACAUAGAAGUGCCAUGCAAAAGCAAAUCAUGAAGCCAGAAGAUCGAACAUCAGUCAGCAAAUUUUCAGCAUGUUCUGCCCAAGUUAUUCAGACGGCAAAUUUGGGAAUAUGAAAGAAUAGAUUAAAAUCAGCAUCGGUAUCAGUAUCACUAUGAAGAAACUUCUCACCUGGUGUACGACUGCUAGGUAAAGCGCAAAUCUCGCAACAAAAUAGAUAUCAGCUCUUUUAUCUCUGCCUGGCUAAUUAAAAACAAAAAUAUAGAAAUAUUAAGCUGAUCUAAUUAAUAACAAUCCACUCAAAUGUUUUUUUUAUUGACUUCAUAAAAAUUAAUAAAAGAAGCAAAGAUGUAUAAAAGAAACAGAAGGUGCCAGCAUAUGACAUUAUGCUUCACAAAUAAUUUAAUGCUGUGUGGUUGGCAUGUAAAUCUAUUAAAGAAUCCAUAUAUCAAUCUGAUAGUGCCGCAUAUAAUUUAUCAAUGAUAUCAAGCUCUAUUUGCUUCUAUACACUGAAUUAGCCUAGAAAUAGGUGCAUCUUCUUGCUAUCUCUCACCGACCUUUUGGCCCCCGGUUUCACUCGAAAAUUGGAAGGUCACAAACCGCCCUUUAUAAUUGCAAACGUGAAUAAGGUGCUAAAGCAGGACUCAACCUCACACAACUCACAUACAACUUUUAAUUUACAUGCAUGCCACCAAGGAGACAAAUUAGAGACUAAAUCACUAUCACAUAGGCAACUGCUAACUUACUUAUACCAACCCAAAAGUAGUUAUCUAAUAACAAAAAGUAGUAACAUUUGCAAUAAGUGGGAGAUUAUGGACAACUAUUUUUGAGUUUUUUGUGAGCUGCAUAUGAUGUAACUUUUAACAAGAAACUAUCACAUAAUAGUCAUAUUGACUCUUGAUAUAUACCAUGCCACAUACCACAUGCUGUUAUAUGCAAUUCCUUUAAGAAAGAACAAAUAUUGUUCUUUUGAAUUGAAAUCUUAUUGAUCUUGAUAUUUCCCCCAUAGUUUUUUUAUUCAACAAUUUGUAGGAAUUUUGUUGCAGUGAAAGCUUGACCAACAUGGCAUGCUCUCGCUCGCCCAUUCUUUCUUCUUCUUUGUGGUCUAUGCAACGAUAACUUUCAUCUUAUUUUUUCCUUGUUGUGUUAAAAUUACAUUAGCAGCCAUUGAAGAUCAAUUUCACAUGUACCACCAGCUCAUUAUUUCAAUACUUGCGGAGAGCGCAAAGGAGGAAUUUGAAGCUGGAGGAUAUAAAGAGGUACAUUUUUAUUAAUUGAUGUAUAAAGAUGGCCAACAUGUCGUGUCGUGUCCAAAUUUUUUUUAUAAGGGCCCGACACGAGCUCAAAAAAGGUCUAUCAACUUUUUUUUUCCUCAAGCCCACAUGCCCAACGUGCCAAAAAAAAUCUACAUGUCUGACGUACUUUAUUUAAACCCACGUGUCUAACGUGUUUUUUUAAACCUAUUCGCCUAACAACAACAACAACAAUAAUAAUUUUUAUUAAGAGAGCAAUUAAUGUUUUAUUAUUAGUUUAUUAUAAUUUUACAACUAUAUAUUUAAUUUCACAAUAACCAAUCAUAACACAACAAUACACAAAUUUAAUUCCAUAGAUCAUAGUAAUUAUUAAUGAAAAUUAAAAUAUCAUAAAAAAUAUUUUGUUCAUAAUUUUAUUUUUGUGUACAAAUAUGAAAAAUAUUUCAUUCACAAAUUAAACAUAUCUCCAUUAACUAAGUUAUGAUUUUAUAAAUGAAAUAUUAAUGUCGUAAAAUUUUUUAUUUAUCAUUUAUAAAAUCAUGAUAUUUAUAAUUUUAUUUAUUAAAAUCAUGAUAUUUAUUUAAUAAAGUAUAAACAUAAACCAAUUAGAAUAUUUAUUUAAACUAAGAAUUAAAUUAAUUUUUAAAAGCAUAUACUAAAAAAUCUAUUAAAAAAAAUGUAAUUCCAAGAUAUUUAUAAAAUCAUAACAUUUUAUAUUUACUUUUCAUUAAAAAUUUUUAUUUUGAUAUACUUUGGCCUACGUGUUAUUGAUGGCCCAUAGGCCGUGUACUAGCACACUAAUGAAGCAUGCUUAUUACGUGUCUUUUCGCGUGCCGUACUUUGUCCCAUUUCUAAUCGUAUCGUGCUUUUAAGGUCCGCGUGCCUAAAAUUCUAGACCUGGCCCAACCCACGUGUCGUACCUAUCGCGUGUCGCUCAGCCCAUUGGCCAUCUUUAUUGAUGUAGUUCAAUUAACUUGUAUCAGGGCCUUAUUAUUUUUCUUCCUCUUCUGAGGUGGAAGCUCAGCCCAUUGGCCAUCUUUAUUGAUGUAGUUCAAUUAACUUGUAUCAGGGCCUUAUUAUUUUUCUUCCUCUUCUGAGGUGGAACUGGGUCUACCCCUAAUGGUCUAAAUUGACCAAGACCUCUUAUAACAACAUGAAAGAUUUUUAUCAACUAUAAAAUUAAAGGUAUGAAUAAGAACUAAAUAUUAUAUUUCAAAUUUCUUUUAUAAAAUGUAUUUAUUUCCUAAACUAUAAAAACUAAUUCUUUUUUUCUUUUUUAUUUAUUUAUUUGACAUUUAUGUCUAAUAAUUAUAUUUAAGAUGUUUUUAUAAAUAAAAACAAAUAAGAUGUCACUUAUAUUCAGUCUUUUAAAAAUGAAAAAUAAGAAUGUCAUUUAAAUAUUCGUAUUCAAACUCAUUCAAACUUCGAAAAAAUUUAGAGCUAUUAAGAUUUUAGACAAAAAACAAAUGCUACCCAAGUGUGGUAAUUUUUUAUACUUUGAUUAUGCAAUAUUUCCUUGUGUAUAGAGAGGAGAGUUGCAAAUGUUGUUGCAAUUUUUGAAUUAGAUAAUAUUCAGGCCUUCUUUGAUAUUGAGAUAAUAAAAAAUUUUAAGUUAUAAUUGCUGUUUAAAAAAAAACGUAGUUCUAAAAUAAAAGUUGACAAUCUAUAGUAAACAUAACUUUUAAAUAACAAUUUUAACAAAAAUAAUAAAGAUAUCAUAAAUGUUUUGUUCUGCAUGUGUAUGAUCAAAUCAACUUAUCUUUCGAAACUUACUUUCUAAACUAUAGCAAUAAGUGUUUAUUAAACAUAAUACUUUAAAUACUGUAGCUUUUAAACUUUAAUUGUCCAAUCACAUUAGCAAAUAGGACCUUAAUUAGUAAAAUAUUAACAUUUUUAUCUUAUAAUUGGAGAAUAUGAUCCAAGUUUAGAGAAAAACUUCUAUCUAUUGAGGUGGUAAUCUUCUAACCACUGAAAUUGGAUUGUGUUUGCCAAAUUCAAAUGUUGUUGUUAUAGUACAUAAAGAGUUCACAUUGAGCAUUAUGGAUCAAGUGUGGCAAAGCAAGAAUCUAGUGAAGGUAAAAUGUGUCUAUCUUCACUUACAAAUACUAUUUCGAUCCACUAAUAAUAAAACAUAAUUUUUUACGUACCACAAUGGAAUGAAACUCAAGUUUGAGCCAAAAUCUUAAUAAUAUCAAAAUAUUUCUCUAUUUUCUUUUGAAGGAAAACAAUGGUUCCUUAGUGAAUGAGCAAAAGAAUGGGUACCUAGUGAAUGACAUUUGCAUGGUAGAAGACAACGUUACUAAGCUUGGAACUUCCCAAGCAUUGUAUCAAGAAAUUGAGAAUAACUUAUUACAAGAGAAUUGAUUUAUCAAAAUUUUGAUUGUUCCGAAUUGAUUAAUGGUAAUUGGUAAAGAUUUUUGCCCGAUCGUGUGCUUGAUCUUUAUUGUUCUUGAUUGGGAAGAAACAGAAGUUAUUUUUUGAUCUACUUUGUCACAACGCAAGCAAUGAGUUCUGUUGGAUUUGUAUAUUUCUAAGACAUCACUAGAGAUCCCUUGAUUAUAAGAGAAGCACUAUAAUCAUGGGUUUAGACUCGUGUUUCGGAAGAUUUGAACUCUAAUAAGAAAAAAUUAAAACAAAACCCAAGUGGAAUUGUGGUUGUGCACAAUGAACAUAAAUAAUAAUAAAAAAAUCUCAUAAAUAAAAGCAUGCGAGUCACGUGACAAAUAAAUAAACAGGAUAUUAUAUUUAGCUGAAAAUUCCUAAAAAUAAAAAUAUUGAACUACUUAAAAGGGAGGACAUAGAUUCUCAAGAGAGAACUAACAUAUUCUCUCUUAUGAAUGGAGGGAGAAAAACAUUUUCCGCGUUUUUCUCCGCACCCAAGCUCCUUGAAUUUUUUUUUUUAAAAUUUUGUAGCAAAUGUCGAGUCUGUCCGAAGCAGUAGCCUAAUACUUAGCAGCCGAGUGGAAAAUUACUUUUUUAAAAAAAUAUUUGUUUAUUCCCUAUAUUUUGAGUUAAGUAUUUAUUUAGAGCAUCACUAAAAAAUUCUUCAAAUAAGAUUUUAUUACUUAUUUGGAGACCCACAUCAACAUUUAAGACUCCAAAAAACACUCUAAUUAAAAUUCUUUAAAUAAAAAAUUAUUCCUUCUCUUCAAAUUUGGAGAGUUAUUUUCUCCCUCUUCAAUUUAUAUUUUAUUACUUUUUACUAGAGAAAGAGCGAGAAAUGUUUUAAUUGCUAUUGACUUUUCCUUUAAAAAAAUAAUUAUUUGAUUAAAAAAUUAUUAACUUAUUUAUAUUUGAAGAGUCUUUUUAAGAAUAACAUAUUUUUUCACUCUUCUAUUUGUCACAUAGGUAAACAAAUAAAUAUUUGAAGAGUAAAAUUUAUAAAAACUUUUAGAGAUGCUCUUAGUCUUUAUAUUUAAAAGUAUAAUUCAAAACACUCUUAUUGUUAAAUUUAUUACACUUCUACCUUUAUGUCUUCUUUCCUUUAUAAUAAUAUUCUUAUAAUAAAAUUCUUAGGGAUAUUAAUAAAAUAAUGUAUUAUAAAAAAAAUACAAAGUAAGAGUAAAAAAAUAAAAUUUUAAUUAUAAGUAUAUUUUAAAAUAUUUUUAAAAAAAUGGGGAUUAAUUGGACACUUCAAGUCAAAAACUUGCCCUUUUAAAGAAUUUCAAAAAAAAAAUUACUUGAAAAAGCCUCUGAGAGUAAACGGUUCAAUUGAAAUCUUACAAUAACUCGUAGCAAAUAUAACACCGAAAAAUGUGCACUUUAGAGAAACACGGCGACGUUUUUGUCCUAACCUUAACCGGUUCCUCCGACGUUGACGAACACCGGUUCGGUCCUCCCGCAAUCGACUCGAUCCUCUCGGCUAUCGCCAAAGCCAAAGCCGAAGCCACUCCCGGCUCCGCUCUUAUCACCACUUCUCAUGGCAAAUUCUUCUCCAACGGCUUCGACCUCGCCUGGGCCCAAGCCGCUGGCUCCCGAACCGGCGCCCGGGAACGCCUCCACUACAUGUUCAAAUCCUUCAGGCCGCUUGUAGCCGCCAU